rnacentral:rRNA from 1 species
GAGAAACUGAUAAUNUAGAGUAAGGGAGAGGCAGAUGGAAUUCUNGGUGUAGGGGUAAAAUCCGUAGAGAUCAAGAAGAAUACCCAUUGCGAAAGCGAUCUGCUGGAACUUAACUGACGCUAAUGCGUGAAAGCGUGGGGAGCAAACAGGAUUAGAUACCCUGGUAGUCCACGCCCUAAACGAUGUAUACUAGUUGUUGCUUCGCUAGUCGAGGCAGUAAUGCACCUAACGGAUUAAGUAUACCGCCUGGGGAGUACGGUCGCAAGAUUAAAACUCAAAGGAAUAGACGGGGACCCGCACAAGCGGUGGAGCAUGUGGUUUAAUUCGAAGAUACGCGAAGAACCUUACCCGGACUUGAUAUCUAACAAAUCAUCCAGAGAUGGAAGAGUGUCUGCUUGCAGAAGUGUUAAGACAGGUGCUGCACGGCUGUCGUCAGCUCGUGUCGUGAGAUGUUGGGUUAAGUCCCGCAACGAGCGCAACCCACGUCAUUAGUUGCUAACGGUUCGGCCGAGCACUCUAAUGAGACUGCCUUCGCAAGGAGGAGGAAGGUGUGGACGACGUCAAGUCAUCAUGGCCCUUAUGUCCGGGGCGACACACGUGCUACAAUGGCGUAUACAAUGAGACGCAAUAUCGCGAGAUGGAGCAAAUCUAUAAAAUACGUCCCAGUUCGGAUUGGAGUCUGCAACUCGACUCCAUGAAGCCGGAAUCGCCAGUAAUCGUAGAUCAGCCAUGCUACGGUGAAUACGUUCCCGGGUCUUGUACUCACCGCCCAUCACACCAUGGGAGUUGAUUUCACUCGAAGCCCAAAUACCAAACUGGUUA